UGCCCUAGUACGGCGAGUGAAGCGGCAACAGCUCAAAUUUGAAAGCUAGCCUUCGGGUUCGCAUUGUAAUUUGUAGAGGAUGAUUUGGGGAAGCCGCCUGUCUAAGUUCCUUGGAACAGGACGUCAUAGAGGGUGAGAAUCCCGUAUGUGACAGGAAAUGGCACCCUAUGUAAAUCUCCUUCGACGAGUCGAGUUGUUUGGGAAUGCAGCUCUAAAUGGGAGGUAAAUUUCUUCUAAAGCUAAAUAUUGGCGAGAGACCGAUAGCGCACAAGUAGAGUGAUCGAAAGAUGAAAAGCACUUUGGAAAGAGAGUUAAAAAGCACGUGAAAUUGUUGAAAGGGAAGCGCUUGCAAUCAGACUUGUUUAUACUGUUCGGCCGGUCUUCUGACCGGUUUACUCAGUUUGGACAGGCCAGCAUCAGUUUCGGCGGCCGGAUAAAGGCUCUGGGAAUGUGGCCUUCACUUCGGUGGAGGUGUUAUAGCCCAGGGUGUAAUACGGCCAGCCGGGACUGAGGUCCGCGCUUCGGCUAGGAUGCUGGCGUAAUGGUUGUAAGCGACCCGUCUUGAAACACGGACCAAGGAGUCUAACAUCUAUGCGAGUGUUCGGGUGUCAAACCCCUGCGCGUAAUGAAAGUGAACGGAGGUGGGAACCGCAAGGUGCACCAUCGACCGAUCCUGAUGUCUUCGGAUGGAUUUGAGUAAGAGCAUAGCUGUUGGGACCCGAAAGAUGGUGAACUAUGCCUGAAUAGGGUGAAGCCAGAGGAAACUCUGGUGGAGGCUCGCAGCGGUUCUGACGUGCAAAUCGAUCGUCAAAUUUGGGUAUAGGGCGAAA
rnacentral:rRNA from 1 species